rnacentral:lncRNA from 1 species
AUGGCCCCUGCCCAUCCUAUACUCCUCCUCCUGAUGGCCAUGACUUACUGGAAGAUGUGUGCUACUCCGUGGCAAGAACCAAGAGCAGAUGAUUACACUGGUUCUUUUAACCCAGUUGCCUGGCCGGACACGGCUUUUGUUCCUCUGAUGGAGCCCAGAGGUGUGAGUGGAGGUGAACAGGAUGCAGAAUCCCAGCUGGCUCCCGCAAUGGAAGCUAUAGCAGAUGGCAUGGAAAUCUCUCCAGGGAGGGCCGUGCCAAACACGCAGCUGCUUCCUGCACUGGAACCCCGCUGGUAUCCCAGGGGUCCUGUGAGACAGAGAGGGAACUUGGGAAGACGAAGAUAUUUGCAGAGGUUUUCUCACGUCCCAAAGACAGUCACGAGGGAGAAUGCAGUGCCUGAGAUCGACGGAGAGCCUGUGGAUGAGGCUGCAUUCCAGGAGGGCAGAAGCUGCACACUGCCCAUCUCCUGUGAAGACACAGAGGACGUGCGAGCAGCUGGCGCUCCAGGAAAAGGCCAUGCAGAGAGCUCUGUGGCUGAUGGUGCAGGUGCUGAAGAACCCGCAAAUGGCGUCCGUGUGAAGGAUGUCCCCAUGUUCUCCUUAAAAGGCGCUCUUGCUGUGUUUGUUCCUCUUCUGCUUGUCACAGUUUGGUGCUGCAUUUGUGUCCGGCGGCGAAGGCAGAAACACCAGCAUCUCACAGGAUCCACCAAAGCCCAGCGUGCAAAGUGUGCUGCCCGCGAACGCUCACUGCAUCCAGACAGAGAGCCAGCCCCAUACAAAGCAGCGGACAGACGGACUUGGCAGCAGCAGCCUCCACGUGUGCCAGGACAUCCUGCCUGGGUGCCGCAGAGCCCAUACAGAUCAUCCCCCUCCAGGCCAGAGAACACCUUGGCUCCGCUGCCCCUGGCGCAGCCCCCGUGGCCCCCCAGCCCGGCCCACUCCACCGUGGCAAAGCAGAAGAAAUCGAGUCGCCCCAAGCCCCGCUGGCCACUGCCACCAUCACCACUCCCAUCCUCCAGGGGUUGGCAGCAGUCCCCCUGGGGUAGUGUCCGGGAACCGUGUCCCACACCUGGACAACCCCUGCUGCGAUCAGCGGUGGCUUUCCAGAUUGCUCGUGCAGCAAGAAAUAAGAAACAGCUGUGUUGACCAUGUCACAUGCUGCUUAAUUCUUUCAGAACACAUUCAAAAGCCAAGUGUUUAGAGAGGAGACCUUGCUUUAUUCUGUGCAAGACACGGGCUGGGAAAUCCCCACAACAAGCGCGUCGUGUCUUCACACGGGCUUCUCUUCAGAGUGAGAAGUUUCCACGCUGCACCUGCCUAGUGCAUAGGUCACAGUGACCUCAUAGGGAUUUGAGAUCAUGGAGCAGAUCUUCCUGGAAGAGAUGUUAAGGCACCUGAGGGACGAGGAAGUGAUCCGGAACAGCCAGCACGGCUACACUGAGGGCACAUCAUGCCUGACCCACCUGGUGGCCUUUUAUGAUGCAGUGUCAGCACUGAUGGACAACAGGAGGGCAACUGAUGUAGUCUCCCUGGACUUGUGCAAGGCCCUUGACGUGGUCCUGCACCACUUCCUUCUCUCUAAGAUCCAUUGCUUAAAAACCCUUUCUGUAAAGAAGUUUUUCCUGAUACCCGGGCCUCCAGGUGAUGCCAGCACAACCACUGGUGAUGCUGGGACAACUGCCCGUCCCCAAAUCUGUCACUGUCAUCAUGGAACCUGGCACCGUCCCAACCCCCAUCUACACUGAGAGCCCCAUCAGCGUCCUGCAGCUCCUGGAGCUGGGUGAUGCCAUCACCCUGACUGUCCCCAGCUGUCCUCCCUGCUGUGGUGGCACAACGGGAGCACGGUGACAUCCUCAUCAAAGAGGUGAUGAGGAGGGGGGUUGGGAACAAUCUGGGGACACAUGGGGACCGGCACAGGCGCAACAUGUGGUCGCUGGUGUCACUGUUUUCAGGUGUCAUCGGGUGUUGGCAUCACUUGGGUGUCACUGUUGUCACCAUCAUCACUUGUGUGUCAUUGUCACUCAGGUGACACCAUUCUCCCCUGCUCUGACCACCACAUGGGGGCAGGCACAGGCAGCCCCGCGUUAUCACCGUGCUGUCACUAAGCUGCAAACUGUCCUUUGUCACCCCCUCAGGCCUCCCUACAGUCAGACCCAGUAACUCCAGGGCCCUCCAGUGCUGUUACCAUCAUCUGCCAUGGGGACAUGGUAGUGUACUCUGUGCUACCACUGGAGGGGAUCGCGUGUGACAUCAGCACGGAACAGCCGUGAUGCGGUGUCAUCGUCAUUGGGUGUUGCUUUUGUCAACUGGCAUCGGGUGUCACCAUCAUGCAGAGGGGACAGAAGGACCCCCCGGGGCCCUGGGGAUGUUGCGCUGAAGUUGGGGACACCGUGACAAGCUCAAAGACUUCCCAGGGAAAGUGGGGACACUGCAUCAUGGUGUCACACCCCCAAAGUUGAGACAUCCCUUUGGGGGCACCCCCGUGUCACCCCCACGGUGUCACACCCUAGACUUGGGGACACCCCGUGUCACUUCCCACAGUGUCACACCCCAAAGCUGGGAACACCCCUCUGGGGAUCCCCUCCACAGACCGCAUUGUUUCCAUGGGGCGGGGGUGGGUUUUUGUAAUUAGGGUUUAUUUGGUGAUAACGGGAUUGGAGGAUGCCAUCUCCCCCCCCCCCCCGCAUUGCCCCCAGGUGAAUAAAGGGCAGAGGAGCAGCUGUGGGGUUCCA